rnacentral:rRNA from 1 species
GAUGACCGCUGACAGCAUGCUUAACACAACCGCGAUAGCGUGGUGGCGGACGUGUGAGUAACGCGUAAAGAACUUGCCUCACAGGUAGGGCCAACAUUUGGAAACGAAUGCUAAUACCUAAUACUGUGGGAGAGGUUUGCGUCCCAUUAGCUAGUUGGGGAGGUAACGGCUCACCAAGGCGAUGAUGGGUAGCCGGCCUGAGAGGGUGAUCGGCCACAAGGGGACUGAGACACGGCACUGACUCCUACGGGAGGAAGCAGUGGGGAAUAUUGAACAAUGGACCAAAGUCGGAGCCAGCAAUCCUGUGUGAACGAUGAAGUUUUCGGAAUGUAAAGUGCUUUCAGUGUGGAAGCGGUACCAACAGAAGAAGGGACGGCUAAAUACGUGCCAGCAGCCGCGGUAAUAC